GUUUCAAAAUGUUCCUCUGCUCCAAUUCCUCUGCAGUUGGCCUCUGGCUCAGGCGCCUGCGGAAAAAAUCCAGGAGAAGUUUUUGGACCAUAUCACAUCCUCCUUGGGUCAUUAAUCUCCUCAGCCCUUGUAGAUACAUGAGACAGAGUCAGUGGCCGGAGUUCUUGUUCCAUCCUGUGCUCUGAAAGACUGACUCUCACUACCACCGCCUCCUCGGUUCCUCAAAUUCAACCCCAGGAAAGGCACCAUGCGUCAUGUCACACUGAGCUGACCCUCCGCCUUCCUCACUUCGUUGGCCCCUCCCCAGCCCUGCUCCUCCGGUGCCUCAAGGCAAGUGGACUCGUCUCUUCACAGAAGUCCCUUUCUUUCCUUGUGGCCUCCUAACUCCAGGAACGUGGCCUCUGCCUUUCUCCCCCACCCUGAGGCUAGAGGUUGCUUCUUGCCCUGAUUGUGCAGACCCAGUUGGAACACAAAGAGGCUCAUGGCCCCAGGGAGACAUGGGAGAGCGCGUCUGUCUGCAAAGAACAAUAGCUGCUCUUCUUCUCGUCCCCACCCAUUACCACCAGAGCCUUAUUAGACAUGGAAUGACAAAUGAACAAGAACAGAAAUGACACUCCUGAUACUGGGCAUAUAAUUUAGUCAUAACAAGUGAAACAUCAUAGCAGGGGCACGAACCUGCUAUGAUGCAACAGAAGGGGGUGGGGACAGACAACGGAUGGGCACCCCAUAGUGAUAGAAAUCUCCAGAGAACGAGGAGGGCACCAAAGAGGAGAAUUACAUGCUUGUAUGCCUAUACAAAGUUCCAGGAAUGAUCAACACAAAAACAAUGGGCCUCAGCACUCACAGUGCAUUUUUGAAGUUCUUGGAAAUUACUUAACAACCCUGCAAUUAUUCAGCAUUUUGCUUCACCCAUUGGAAUGAGGUGUGUGUGAGAUGAGAAAAUGGUAGGAGGAGUCUGAGGCUUCUCAGAGUCCUCCACUGGGACCUAAGAGGUGGAAGGAGUGCUCUCCUAGAGGCAGAAGUUGCAGGCCCUUCCCAAAUAUCGGCAACUAGUGUCCACAGUUGGCAUCAUGGAAUCUGAAGAGAGAGCUAGAGUGGAAAUAUAAAGUCCGUGGAGUCACCAAGUAUAAAUAUUUUAAAUCCAAUGCUUACUCUCACUUUAGUUCUCUUUAUUGCCCUGGGCCAGAAAACAACUGAUCUGUGCUACCCCAAUUUCAUCACCGUCUAUGCUAUAGAUAGGGAACAGGCUUAAUGCCAGAGAAAAGAUUUUUGGUCAGAUAUAUGUCUGUAAAAUUUAUAGCACCCUGGAAACUGCUGGGAAUUGUUCCAAGGUGUUUUUAAGUUUCUAAGAACAUUUUCACAUUCAUUAGUCAUUUUCUCCUCAAAACAUCCCAUUAUGGCAUUAUUUAUCCCCAUUGAUAAGGGCCAGCUGUGUAUUUGGAAAUUUACAAUAUUGGAGGUUCUAAAUUUGGACUCAGCAGUCUUUAAGUCCUUUCUAAAAUACCAAUCUCAUACUGUAGGAGGAAACUUGAGAUUACAGGACUGAGCAAAUUGAUGUCAUAGGUCUGGAAUGCAGCUACUGACUCCACCGGGAAUGAGCGUCUUAGAGGCUAGGCCUCACCUUUCAAUUUAUUUUCAAGAAUACUUGUUUCUUUUAUAGGGAUGCACAGCCACCCUUAUGGGACCGCUUAUGGCACCUUUAUAAGACCCAGGCUUUAAAAUGAAGCUAGGGUUUUGGGGGCAGCAUGUUUUGAAAAACCCCUUCGGAUUCAAGGUGGAGCUUGCAUCUUGGAAACAGGGCCAAUGUUGUACCCCCACAAGUGUCCCCAGAACGUUUGCCCUCUGGCUUGUGCCGAGCAGCCCAUUUAUUCCACUACCAGAUGUGUUGCCUGGUUCUGUGCUGGCCUUUUGCUUUUUGUUUUUCUUAUGGGUCAUGUUUGGAGGAGACAAAACAAUGAGUGGCUGCACUAUAACCAGAGAAAACUCUGCUAUUAACUAGGCAGCCUUACAGUCAAACACACAUGAUUUCAAAUGAGGCCCUCUAUGUUUCAUUUCUCAUGAAAGGAUCUGAGAACAUAAAGGCUAAGCAUAGGUAUGAAAUCUAGCUAAGCCCUCCCGAAGGGGAUGUGCUGUAAUUAGCUGUUUUGACUUUGAAAUGAGAUUCGGUAGGAAAAUGAUAUUGUGGCAUUGUAAUGACAAAGCACUAAACAGCUCAGAACUUAGGGGGGCUGCAUUCUAGUCCUGCUCUGCUCUGCUCUGUACCUACUGUCCUUGGAGAAGGUACUGGACCCCUAUGGGCCUAUGUUCUUUUCUCUGCAAAUAAUAAACAGCACAGUCAUGUACCACAUAAUGAUGUUUUGGUCAAUGACAGGCCACAAAUACAAUGGUGGUCCCAUUAGAUUAGUACCAUAUAACCUAGAGGUGCAGUAGGCUAUAUCAUCCAGGUUUGUGUAAGUUCACGCUAUGAUGUUUUGCACAACACAAAAUCGCUUAAUGAUGCAUUUUUCAGAAUGUAUCUCCAUUGUUAAGCAAUGCACAACUGCAAUUUAAUAAGCUAAGGUUGAUUUAAUGCCUAUAAUGUGCAGGCAUAGUUGUAAGAAUGGUAUGUAUGUUAAUUCACUUCAUCUUCAUAGCAGCCCCUUGAGGUAGUACCAUCAACAUUUCCAUCAUACAAAUGGGAAAACUGAGGCACAAAACAUUGCCUUCCUUGCCCCAGGUCACACAGCUAGCAAGUGACAGAGCCAAGACUGAAACCCAGGCCUUCUGUCUCUAUAGUCUGAAGACUCUUAACCACUGUUAUUUGUUUCCUAUUGCUGCUCUAACAAAUUACCACAAACUGAGUGGCUUAAAACAACACAAAUUUAUUAUCUUACAGUUGUGGCAGUCAGAAUUCCGAAAUAUGUUUCACUGUGUUAAAAUCAAGGUGUCAACAGAGCUGCGUUCCUUCUGGAAGGAGAGACUCUGUUCCCUUGCCUUUUUCAGCUUCUAGAGGCUGCCUGCACUCCCUGUGCCUCUUCUAAGCCAGCAGUAUAGUAUCUUCCAAUCUCUCUCUGACUUUGACCCUCCUGCCUUCCACUUAUAAGGACUCUUGUGAUUACACUGUGUUCAUCCAGAUAAUCCAGGAUAAUCCCUUCAUUGUGAGAUCCUUAAUUUAAUCACAGCUGAAGAGUCCUUUUUGCCUUGAAAAGUUACAUAUUCAUAGGUUUGGGGAUUAGGACAUGGACAUCUUUGGGGGUACAAUUAUUCUGUCUACGACAACCAUAACACUCUACUAGUCAGAAGCUGUAAACUGGCGUCUGGUGGGCUGGAUUUGACUCUCCAAGUUUUCCUUGGAUGCUCAGAGGUUACAGUUUUUUCUUAUCUGAAUGCCUGUAGAUAGGGCGUGUGGGUCCCAGUAAGCCCAGUCCCCAGCACCCGCUCAGAUACGACGUGUGAGCACGGUGACAUCUGUCCUGCUUUCUUCCUUUCCAAUCACUCUUGGCCCUUGUGGGUCUCUGAGGUUGCGAGCCCUGGGUGAGAUCAUCAAGUCACAAGGACCCUAACUUUCCUUUUCCUUCUUUCAUCCACCAAUCUACCCACCAUUGACUAACAACCCUACUGAGGACUGGGCACCGACAGUUCCUGAGAGCUCACAGCCCGGAGGUGCACGAAAAAGAAAAGCAGAAGUGACUUUGGUUUUCUGCAUCUCAGCCCCAGAGGGAGGUAACUGCCUUUUCAGACAGACGGAAAAAGAAAACGCAGAGGGGCUGCCUGGAGCUCUGUGUUGAGAAGGAUUCUGAAGCCUGCCCACACCUUUGUAAUCAGUCCUGUUGUAAAUAAACCCUCCUCGAGUUCUCAUAAUGAGUGAACCAUCUGUUUUCUGUUGGAACCUUGGUGGAUGGGAAGAUCACGGUAGGGAGACCCUUCCUUUUUGAUGGAGCUGUUCAGAUUUGAGGCUGAAGAUAUCAAAGGAGAAGGACACAUUUGCUUUGACAGUCAGCUAAGCAUAUCAGCUCUGGUGAUUGACAGAGUGACAGACAAUGGCGAUCCUGACUAGAUUAUUUUUGUACCAUUUCUCUUUAAAGGUAGAGGCUCAAACUGGGCACAACGCUCCAACCAAGAGGAAUAAGUUAAGAAAAAUAUUUGGAUGACUUGCACACAAUACUCCCUGUGUCCCACAGACACAUAAUCUCCAAUCUUCGCAAAUUAUCCCAGUUAUUUCUGGGAGUCCUCGCUUGGUUUUUAACAUGUCCCCCAAACAUGUCCUAUCAUUAUCAAAUGACACUGGCCAUUUCCUUCCUUUUAUGCCUUAGCCCCUUCAGUGAGGUCUCUUGCCUUUACUGCUGGAAAAGCCACCUGACAACACCUGGUCAUUUCAACUACUGCUAAAGAUGUCUGCCCAGCGUGAGGACAUAGAUGUCCAUGUCAAUGGAGCCCACCUCCUGCAAGAGAGUAGACCUCUGGUGGACUCAGAACAUGCCCACCAAACAUACCCACAACUGUCUGAAACUCAGCAAAAAACCUGAUUCAGGCUCAAGCAGGAACUUCCAGUAUGCACAGGAAUCUAGGUAGACUUUUCUUAACUUGAGCCUUAUCUGGGUAUCCCUGUACUUAUUUUCCCUACUUCUUUAAAGAAUAUUGCUUUGGAUGAACACAGAUCUCUUGGGAAAGGACAAAGAGCGAUUCAAAUGAAGAGAGGAAGCUCUGGGGGUCACUGAUGAGUGACUGUAAUAGACAAUAUCAUGAUUAUGUUGACACGCACAGCCCAGACAAUACAAAAACGUCCUAAGAGUAUAUACUUAUUCAUCUACGCAUUCAUGUAUUCAUUCAAAAAGUAUUAUGGUUCCAGAUUUUCCCAGUGCCCCUGCUUUGCUGGUCCUCAAUAAACAGCAUAUAUAGCCCUUGAUCACUUUCCAAAGCAAGGCGAGGGAUGAGAAGUUGGAAAUAGGCCCUAGGAUGCUCCUCUCAUGUCCCACUCUGACUGUGACACCUGGACUCCUCCUAGGACCUGCAGAACAUGUGCAGCUCAUGCUUUUUCAUGUUCACCCCCAAUGGGCCCAUCUCUCAUCUCGGGGACGUUAGCACUUCCCAAGGAGGGGUCUGAGGGUAGAAGUGAGGCAGAAGCCAGGAGACAGGUGGCAGGAAUCCCCUGGCCUCCUUUCCCCUCUUCAUUGAAUGAGUCUGCAGCUAUUUUUCCCCAGCUGCCUCCCAGGGCCUCUCCUGCACUCCUAUUUCUGGAAAAAAUAACAACUCAAGUUCAGAUGAGAUCCCAUGCUGUUUAGAAACCUGGAGACAAAAACACAAAAGCCCCAAUGAGUCUCAGAUGCUUGAGUGGAGGGGAUUUUGGUCACAUUAUUUUGCAAAGUUUUCUAUACUUCUCUUUUAUGAAAAUCUCAUUUCCUCUACUGUUUCCUGAGACAUCUCUCCACAAUGUUAAAUGUGAAGCUUCAUUUUUAAACCAAUAGCCUGACAGCCCAAAGGAGUGGCACAGAAUGUGGUUAUUCUCAUUAAACUAUAAGUGCUUUCCCGUGCCCUGAUAAUCUUUCACAAAAUACAUUUUUGUGUAUAUGCAACAAAAAGGACCCCCUCCUCACCACACACCCCAUUUUUCUCCCCAGUAGCAUUAUGGGUUUUAGGAAUGUCUAACCAGUCUGGAUUUGCAUUUUCGCAUUCUUUGAAAAUCUUUUUGUUAAUUUUAAAGCGGUCAGGAAUAAUGGAAUGGUUUUUUUUUUGGUCCAGGAAAGGAUCUACUUAUAUGGGAAAGGGAAAGAGGAAAAAGAACGCAAAAAUGGGGAGUGCUAUGGAUGCUUCAAGUAGACUUUAUCUUGAUUAGAUAGGAAACAAAUACAAAUGAUUUCUCACUGCUUUCUUGGCCUUAUCGACCCAAUGCAUUGGGGGAUCCCUUGUGAGAAGAGACUGUUCCCCUCAAAUAUGUUCCUAAAAAGAGACCACAAAUUUAUAUAACAUACCUACCACAGGGCUGUCAGCUCCCAGCCUGGUGAAUGUUAGUCCACGUCCUCUUCCCUGCCUUAUGUCCUUUUUUGUUUUAUUUCCUCACAUUCUGGGCACAUCAGAUACACAGCACACAGACACCCUCACUCUCCUGCACGUGCACUUCGACAUGUGAAACGAGAGGGAAGUCAAAGACCACGGCAGCACCAGCAAGCGAGCAGGCAGAUCUCCACAUCGAAAUGCCCCAGAAGGAGCCAGGGAAAACCUGGGCAGAAUCCAUUAGCAGCCCUGGGCUGGGACUGUACUGUCCCUCACAGGAGGCACCGCCAAACCAACUCCUGAGGUGUCAGAUAAACACCCUCCUCCAUCCUGAGGGAAACGGCUGAUUGUAGAACAUUCUCCUCAGUCAGGAGCCAUCGCCUCUUUCCAGGAGAGCGCCGAGAACGGCCGGCAUCCUGACCGCACUGUGUCUUCAACAAGGGGUCAUUGGGAGGCUGAGCUGGUCUGAAAGCAGCAUCCUACGCAGGGGAUAGGAACACUCGGCCACUCAGAGCCCUGAAAGCCACCCUUCUCAGCCAGGUCCGUGUUCACGGAGAAGCUGGUGGAGGGGACAGGAUCAACCACAGCAACACCCAGGGACCCCUCUCAGCACCUCCUUUCUCUAGUUAGAAAACGGAUUCCUGACAUUAUGUGUGCAUCAAAAACACACAUGGCUUUCUUCAUGCCAUAAGUGUUGUGUCCGUCUCUUGUCACCAGUUUUACACACAUCCCACAAAUCUAUGGUUUUGAAAUUUCCUGGAGUUGCUGCCACAAUCUCUCUUCAUAUCUGCGAGACACCUGGUUUAGGUAUCACCUGUGUCACCUGUCCUGAGGUGAGAGUUUUGAGGUUAGGCCUGUCUUGCGCUCAAGGAGUCCCAUGUUAGUUUUUGACUUCUACUCACUGGUGUCCCUCUCACUGGCCCCCGCCUCUUCCUGCAGGCCUUGGAAUCUGGCUUCAGCAGCAUAAACAAGAAGACACUCAUCCCCUGUGGAUGUUCCUUUUCAAGAGAGGCCUGCUUGGCAUUGCAGGGGCGCUUUCUUUCUUGAGACAACACGCAUCUUCUGCUAAAAUCGAUUCCCUGUCUCUCCUUCCUGGAGAAGCAGGCCCUUCUUAGCUGGCCAACAGCUGAGCCACACAGCUUUCGAUGGUACCUGGUUGUCCUUGAAAUAGCUUCUCUAAUUGCUCAGGUAAUAAAUCAAAUGGAAAAGAAUGGACAGUAUCCCUAGGAUAAUUUGUAAAGCAAUACGGUGCUUCAGAUUUGGACUAAUAAGUAAAAGUAAAUGGAACCAUUUUGAUGAUCAGCGAAAUUAGCACAAAGAAAAACCUAUUUGUGUGAAGAUAAAUAGAAUUUCUCCCUCUAAUGGAGAUAUUUUAAGCUUAUGUACUUUUCAGAUGGAUCUAGUGUCAAUACUGUGAAAGCAAGGCCAUCUUCUCUAAAUGUCUUCAGUCUGGAAAUUUAAAUGUGUCAUCUCUUUCUUCUUCAGAGGACCAGACAGUAAAUACUUUAGGUUUGGUGCACCACAUGGCCUCUGUCACAACUACUCUACUUUGCCACUAUAAUGUGAAAGUAGCCAUAGGUAUUACAUAAAUGAAAAGCAAGUCUGUGUUCCAAGAAAGCUUUAUUUACAAAGAUUAAGUGGUGGGCCGGAUUUGGCCCUCCGGCCGGCCCCUUGCCUAGCGUGUCAGCAGUGCCUGAAAACGCUGUCCGUAAAGCAUAAACCAGUGGAGUGGAACCACAAGAACUGUCAGAGCUUACUCAAUGCAAAUUAUUUUGGUUCCUCAAUGCAAAACAGGCGAUUCUUUAGUCAUGUGCUGUGUAGCUCUUACCCCCAUAAGAAAGAUGUAAUAUGCUGGUCCUUCAACACAUUAGACUGAAAAACAGCACUGCCAAGGGGCCACAGAGAAUGAUGCUGAUGACUAACAACAGUUAGGCAAGUCUUUAACCAUUGUACAGUCUGAUUUAUGGACUGUGGGUGGCAGUACAGGAUGGAAGCCCGAACAUCAUAUCCUCUUCCUCUUCAUCACCAUCAUCAUGAAUAAAAUAUCUGGAAGAUGCAUUGGCUUUUCUUAGUUGGCAUGUUGUUUUGGUUACUGUUGGGUGUUUUUUACACACACUCUCUCUCUGCUGAGUUCUCUUGCUCCACUGUGGCUUCCGGACAUCUGUCCCUUGCUCAUGCUUUGGCCCAUGUGAGGAUUAGACUUUUGGUGGCUCUCCAGCUGGAUUACAGCUGCAGGGUGUGGCUGUGGCUAUGAGUUCCUCCACUGUGGCAGCUAAGAACAUGCUUCUUGUAAGAGGAUUUAUUGCCCAUCUAUUAAUUGGCCUUCCAACGAUGAUUUAGCUCCUCUCAAAGGGUCCAUGGCCUUAGGGCCUUAUCAACUCAACAGGAGGAUGACUUUGACAGACAUAAAGAUCAGAAUUUCUCCUUAAAUCAAGUUUACUUGUCAAACAGGCAGCUUGAAAACUUUCAUGGAAAUUGAGAGUUUUAAUGUUUAAGAAACUGUUCUAUAUAUUUUUACAUAUACCUCAGCAUUCCAUUAUUAAUAAAUUAGUAAACUGAUAUCAUGUAACACAUGAGAUAAAUUUAUGACAAAUUUUAACUAAUUUCUUAGAUAGUCUAAACCCGACAUUAUACAUAGGCUUUUAAAAAAAAUGAAUAGACUUAUUUUAUUUUUGCCUAGACAAAGUUACAUGACUUUACAGUUCCCUCAUGGGAAAUGCUUCAGCAUCUCUCGGUUGCAUUGCUGUUGACUGUGGGGUGAGAAUCAGAUUUUGCAGGCUGUGGCUCUUGAAUGGCUCUGUUGGUUAAGGACUGUGAAUAGAGAGAGCAAGGUGACAGAGAACCCAGACAGAGCGAGAGCCUACACUGGGCAGGGGAGGUGCUCCAACUGUGCUGACAUGGCAGGCUCCAGGCAGAAACCACCCACUCAACUUCGACAAAUAUAAAGGCAGCACCAAGUCACUUAAGGAGGGCAAGCUCAUGGCUUCUCUUGGAUGGGACAUGGACCCGGCUUCUUGGGUUGGACCGUGUAGGUGGCAGAUUCAAUGGUUCAAUCAAAUUUGGGGAGGGCAGCUCCGGUGUACGUAAUUUUAAUACACAGGAAGAUGCAAUUACCUGUCUUAGCAUCUUUUAAGACGGAGCUUGAUAAGUUACAACAUGAAGAGGAGGAAAACAAGGGAAAUCAGAACAGUCAAAAGGACGGCUGGAUUUAUGGGAGGUUGAAAAGUUAUGAAACACAUUGAUUACCCGUCAGCACCCACUAUUUAUCUGUCUGCCUACUUUUUUCCAAAGGAACUAACAAGGCUGCCCAUUUUGAAGAACUAUUGUUUUAAUGUUUCAAUGGGCACUGAACAUAAAAUUUUCAGAAUCACACUUCCUAAAAUAGAAGCGUAUUCACUUAUAUGUCAAAGGAAUUGCCUUUAGAAUCAGAAGGAAAAGCGAUUUUCCAGGGUUUGUAUCUUUGGAUAAUUUUUCCUGUUUAUAUUCUGUCUAAAAAUUACUAUUUAGUUAGCAUAUAUGCAAUUUUCGAGGCUAUUAUAAAAAUCUUUGCAUUCUAACCAAGAAGAGUGAAAUGAACAAAAUGAAGAUAAAUAAAGUGAAUUACCUUAUUAGCAUUUUGCAUGAGAUUUGAGGUGUUUUGCCAGUAAACAAAGAUGUGCGGGGACACAUGGAAAACAACUAGACUGCACAUUUCUCAGUUGUGAUCCAGUUCUGCUAUUUAAAUAUUCAGGACUGCGUGCAAGCUCUAUAGAGGAGCUGCAGAAAAAUCACAUAAAAACCCGAAGCCAAAUUUGGUAGGUGAGAAAGAGCACUACAUACCACGGGAAGUACUCUGGAGACUGGAAAUGCCAACUUCCCCAUUGAAACAAAGAACAAAGAAUUCUUCAUAAGUAUAAAUGAUCGGCGCUUCAUUUAUCAUUUGAAUGGUGGAAUCACCAGAAUAGGCCAACUCCAAACUAAGCACCAGCUGAAGAAUCCUCCAAAGUACCUGCUCUUUCUUCAAAAUUAUUAAUGAAGCUUCCUCAGCUGUGAUGAACUAGCAGGUAGCUACAUGCGGAAACAUCUCUCAUGUAUGCAUUGAACUCAAUUUAAUUCUUCUAGCCAAGUGGGAUGGAAGAACCUACCGAGGGGAGAAUUUAAGGAUUCCUUUUAUCACAGGCCUUUUGAUUACUGAAAAUGUUUCUUAAAGAGGACUUGGUUCCACAUCCUAGUAUAGCCAGAAAUAACCAUGUGAACUUGGCUGGCAGCUUAACCUCUUUUGGCCUCUGUUUCUUUAUCUAUAAAAUUAAAGGUAUUAAAGGCAGUGAGAAUGACUGCCUGCUGGAGCUCUAAUUCCAUUAUUUUUUCAGAUCCAGAAGAUGCAGUUGUGAAGUAUGUGAAGAAACCCACAAAUGGGCUCCUUGAGACACAGGCACAAAGCCCACAGUGAAAAACAAUCUCCGAAUAAGUCAGCCUGAACGCACUGGACCGGAUUCUGCGGGAGGAUUCCAUGCAACAAAAUUAUCUUUCAACCAAAGUUUGAAAGAUACUUUGGAUGCUUCAUAAGAUGAUUUAACUCAUAGUUUAUUCAUUGCCUCCUGGUAAAUUCACAAAUGGCUCUGAGAGAUCCUUUCAGGGAUAAAAGUAUGAUAGAAAUGACACAUUCUUAUGAUUGUUUAGUUUAUAAGGGGAUCAAAAGAUUGUAGGAAAGAAAGAGAAAAUGUACUGCAAGAAAAGUGGCCUGACAACUCGAGUUGAAGCUGUUCAUAGGAAUGCUCAUAAGAGAAAAUAACUCUGAAUCAAAUGUUUAGACUAUUCAACGUUUAAAUUACCCAGAGCCCUGCCCCAACCCCAUUCUUUCGGGAACAUUUAAAAAAAAAUGGAAAGAGAAAUAGUCUAAAAUAAAUUUUCACCAAUAGAAGAAUGUGCUCCAGAUAGACUCACAUUUUCUCCACAGAACUUGCCUUUAGCAUCUCUCUCCCAGACGAAACCAGAGAACAAUGAGUAUUCCUUGACUAGCUAGUCUUGAUCCUUUCAGAGGGAUGAUUAUCUAGCUCUUUUAACUGAUACCUAGUACACUGUUGUGUACACAGCAGAUGUCUAAUCAAUACUUUCCAAUAGAAUCAAUUUGUUGAAGCUGAGGUUCCAUGGCCUCCCUUAGUAACUCGUGUCCCUGGGAAGUUAACCUGAAACUCACAGAGAAUAAACUCACUCGGCUCAAGGUCCACCACUCCUUUGUGCUGUCUCCCAGUUGUACUUAAGCUAGUUUUUUCUUUAAACAGGAGCAGUGUUUAUUUUGGGUCUCAUUUUUCUCUAAUUGAGAUUAUUUUGAUUUCCAUGAGUCACUUUACUAAACUAGACCUCAGGAGCAAUUCAUUCAUCGAUGCAGAUCUUGGACAUGUAGUGACACUGGCUCCAACAGAGACCCUCACAGACUCUCCGCAUGGUCUGCUCCCCUCAGGUUAACCAGUCUCAGCAUUCCAAUGGCCAAUUGGCUGCCACUUUCCUUCAGCCAACUGUGAAAAGGCUUUUACUUACUUUUAGUUUUGACGAAUGAAAACUGGAUAUAUUUAAGGUGUACAGUGUGAUAUUUUGAUAUCUGUAUACAUUGUGAAAUGAUUAUCACAAUCAAAUUAAUUAACAUACCUAUUACCUCCCACAGUAAGUUAUCAUUGUGUGUGUGUGUGGUGAGAACUCUUGAGAUGUGCUUUCCUAGGAACUUUCAAGUAUACAUUACUGUUAACUAUAGUUGCCAUGCUGUUCAUUAGGUCUCCAGAAUUUAUUCACCUUAUAACUAAAAGUUUGUACUCUGAGCAAUAUCUCCCCCUUUUCCCACACUCCCCAGCCUCUGGUAAUCACCAUUCUACUCUCUGUUACUAUGAGUUCAAGUUUUUUUGUUUUGGUUUUUUAAGAUUCUACAUUGAGUGAGUUCAUGCAACAUUUGUCUAUGUCUGGCUUAUUUCACUUAGCAUAAUGACCUGCAGGUUCAUCCAUAUUGUUGCAAAUGGCAGGAUUUCUUUCCUUUUAAGGAUGAAUAAUAUUCCAUUGUAUAUAUGUACCACAAAAGUCUUUUAGUCAAGUCUUUUUGAGAUGUGACAGUCCCUUUUAUAUGACUGGAGCCAUGACCAGCACAACCUUCAAACAAAGAGCCAUGACAAGCGUUGGCUCAAGGGAGGUGAGGCUCAGCCACCUUGUGCUCAUCACAUACCCCAGUGCUCCUCUACCUUUCCCAGCCCCCCCUGCCGUGGACUGGGGUCCUGAGCCUAGUUCUGGUUAGUAGAUUAUGAGCAGAAGUGGUGUGUGCAUCUCCUCUACUCCCUCUUCCCUUGCUAUUGAGAUGUUGGAGCCAUGCGUUCUACAAAUAUGUAAUGGCUACAUGAUGGGUAGAGGCCAUCUGAUCCGCACACUAGGCUUUACUUCAGUGAAAAAUAAACCUUUACUGCCUUAAACCAUUGGGAUUCAGGGUAUGCCUGUUUGGGCAACUCGCAUGACUUAUUCUGACUGAUAGAGUCUAGCAUAACAUGGCAUUCAGAUUCACAAUGAGAGGGAAGGAACUAUGUUCAUUAUCUAGUAUAAUUAUUGUAUCUACUAUAAUAAUGAGAUUUACUUCAUCUAGUGUUCCUGAUGACCUUGGUGGGAGGUCCAUCUUACAGAUAUGGAAACUAAGGCUCGACAGGAACCCAGCUAAGAAAUAGUGGAUGGAGCUUUCAAUAUAAGUUUCAGCCUCACAGUCUUCGAUUGUUCCUUCUGCCAGACCACUGCCUCUCAAACUUUAGUGCACGUGAGAAUCACACUUGCUAAGAUGCAGAUUUCUGGACCCCAUCCUCAGAAUUUCUGAUUCAGAGUCUGGGUGGGGCCUGAAAACAUGCAUUUAACAAGUUCCUAAGUGAUGCUGAUGCCACUGACCAAGGGAUCACAUUGUGGGACCACGUUCCUUCCCACAUUGCAUCAGACACAAGUGUCUUGAAACCCAAACCUCAGCAUCAAGUGAUUCAGACCUUCCUACUUAGUGUGGACAGUAUUACUGAAAUGCAAUAAAAAGCUCAGUUAGCUCCAAGAUGGGAGAAAAAUCUCCUCUUCCCUCUUCCUUCCAUGGCUUAUCUCUCCCUCGAGGACAUUUGUAUACUUGAGCCUGAGCCACCGAUGUAGAACUCCACCAUCCUACACAAGCCUUACCCAAGCACAGGAACCUGGGAGGGAAAUUCUGUUCAACAUAAAAAUUAAACCAAACUCAACAUUUUUCUCAGCAUCUUUACCUGAAAGAGGAAAGUCUUAGAUUUGGAAGAUGUGUUUCUCUUUGCUGCUUAUCAUCUCUAAGAUUAUUAGCUCAGUUUCCUCACCUACAAGACAGGAUUCCCAAGAGCAGCCACCUUGCGGGCUUGUGGUGCUGAUGGGAAAGUACUGUAUCAACUGCAAAGGGCUCUAAAGUCUUAGAUAAUAUUCUGUCAUGGACCAUCACCCUGAGUGGUUGUCUCUAAACAUAGAAAGGUUGAUUCUUCUUUUACUUAGCCAAAUAUUCCAAGAAACAGGGUCUUUCUUUCUGCCAUCUGCUCAGAUUAAUAACAAACAAGAAUAACCAUCACAGAGAAUCCCAAUAACAAUUAGGAGAAAAAUCACUGGGGAACUAAAAGGCCUCCCCUUAUCUAACUAUUUUGGGUUAAGAGGAAGCUCUUAAAAUGUGGUCAUGGAGCUGCCGGAAGAUUCACCCAUCCUCUGAUCAGCCUGUAGUUGAAAUAGCUAUGUCCUUCCCAUCCCCUGGGCCUCAAUCUGAAAUGCUGCUGGAAUAAUCAGCCAUUUCAGAAAGCUAUGAAAUAGAAAACUAAACAAGACUCGCUAUCCCCCAGUGAUGGCCACUUUUUUUUUUUUUUUAAACCUUUGCCAGUUUUAAACACUGAGAUUGAUUCUGCUCCUGCUGGGUCAAAACGCAGCUCUUUGUCCUCCACACUUACUGUAUCAUUGAGAAAUGUACAGGCGGCUGGGACAGCUGCCAGUCACCAACAUAGAGGCCUGGAAGAGCCUGACAAGAUGGGGCUUUGUUCCUGGAUAUCCAGCGUGGGGCUUGCAAGCCCUGACUCCUCUCCUGACACACACACACAUGUGCACAUGCACACACACAUGCAUGAGCACACACACGCACACACACACACACACUGCCAGGGCUCAGAAACUCUGUCUUGGCAACAGGAAUGUCAAGAACUCAGUCUUCACUGCAUUUCUUUUUUUUUUUUUAAAGAUUUUUUAUUUUUCCCUUUUUCUCCCCAAA